rnacentral:lncRNA from 1 species
UCAUGCUUAAACAUCUUCUUCAUUUGCUUAUCUUUGUAGAUGUCAUGCUUGAACAUCUUUCUUUACCAUUUGUUUACCUUUAAUGUCAUGCUUGAAUAUAUUUCUUUAUCAUUUGCUUAUCUUUGUGGAUGUCAUGCUAACAUCUUGCUUAUCUUUUGUUUGUCUUUUUGCCCAAAUCCAAGGGAAAGAACUCUUUAUUGACUUAAUGUCAUAGGUAGUUUAGCAAUCCCUAGUUCCCCUUUGGCCUUGUUAGAGCCAUUUUC